rnacentral:tRNA from 1 species
GGUUCCAUAGUAUAGCAGCACAUCUGCUUUACAUGCAGAAGGUCCUGAGUUCGUGCCCCAGUGGAGCCA